UUAAUGAACAAUUAUUUAAUGGCGGGAUUCAUCGUGUUUACACCACUUGAGUGAGGGUAAAAUGAGACAAUACCUUUAUUUAGUUAAUUCAUUCGCUCGUCUGACUACACACUCGCUCUAUCAAUGGUGUUUCAGUCGAGCGUUAUUUACUACAGUUGCUAUAGAUACCAUUCAACGUUUCCAGAGCGUUGAUAUUGAAUAGUGAUUCAACCUUUUUUUACCUGAUCUACUUCAAAGGUGUCCCGUUAGACACCUGACAGCCAGUCACUGUCAAAGGGGAACAAUAACAUAACACACCAACAGACACACACACACACACACACACACACACACACACACACACACACACACACACGCACACACACACACCAAACUCCAACAGUAGUGUAAUAGAACUCAUCUAGCAGAACUAUAAGUCCUUGUUGCCCCCACACUCUAGCGCCCUCUGUUGGUGUGGCUGGCAGACUGAAGACUAGCACACCUGCAGAGGUGUCCCUGAAGGCUCAGGAGGCAGCAAGGGAUUCUGGGAAGGGUAGGGUAAAUGUCCUUGUCCGUUACCACCAGUGUGCCUCCCUCAGGCUCUAAGAGGGCGUGUGUGUGUGUGUGUGUGUGUGUGUGUGUGUGUGUGUGUGUGUGUGUGUGUGUGUGUGUGUCCCUCAGGCUCUAAGAGGGCGUGUGUGUGUGUGUGUGUGUGUGUGUGUGUGUGUGUGUGUGUGUGUGUGUGUGUGUGUGUGUGUGUGUGUGUCUGUCCCUCAGGCUUUAAGAGGGCAUGUGUGUGCAGGCUUCAGAGUGGAGCCUUUCAGACCGCACCCCUCACAUUGCUGUGUGGGCAGGUGAUAACUGAGCUUUAUGAAAGCCAUGAUGACACGGACCAAACUUUAUCCAAUCACGUUUCAUUCUCCAUGAAGCUUCAGUCUAAGCUCCGUCCUCCAAAGCCUCCACUACGUCCUCCGUGGCGAUGAAUAAACAAAUCUAUUUCCGAUUGGCAGACGCGUCAUAGUUGUCAGACGCAUCAUAGUUGUCAGCCAAUAUGUUUUGUUUCUACGAGGAGGAUUUUCUGGGUUUGUUUGAUAUAAAGUGACACGCUAGCAACUUUAAGCAGGGUGAGUUCACGUCAGGAAAAACAUUGUUUUCAAAACACUCAGUUUGUCGUGUGGAUGACAUCUAAAAAACAACUUGAGACCAUGCUUACUCUUAACAGAAGUAUAUAACUUAAUAUGAUCACUAUUAUAAAUCAAAGUUAAUAUAAAAUGAAAUAUGAUAAGGAGC
ensembl:lncRNA